rnacentral:rRNA from 1 species
GGAUGCGAUCAUACCAGCACUAAAGCACCGGAUCCCAUCAGACCUCCGAAGUUAAGCGUGCUUGGGCGAGAGUAGUACUAGGAUGGGUGACCUCCUGGGAAGUCCUCGUGUUGCAUUCCC